AACGAACGCUGGCGGCAGGCUUAACACAUGCAAGUCGAACGCCCCGCAAGGGGAGUGGCAGCCAGGUGAGUAACGCGUGGGAACAUACCCUUUUCUACGGAAUAGCUCUGGGAAACUGGAAUUAAUACCGUAUACGCCCUACGGGGGAAAGAUUUAUCGGGGAAGGAUUGGCCCGCGUUGGAUUAGCUAGUUGGUGGGGUAAAGGCCUACCAAGGCGACGAUCCAUAGCUGGUCUGAGAGGAUGAUCAGCCACAUUGGGACUGAGACACGGCCCAAACUCCUACGGGAGGCAGCAGUGGGGAAUAUUGGACAAUGGGCGCAAGCCUGAUCCAGCCAUGCCGCGUGAGUGAUGAAGGCCUUAGGGUUGUAAAGCUCUUUCACCGAUGAAGAUAAUGACGGUAGUCGGAGAAGAAGCCCCGGCUAACUUCGUG
rnacentral:rRNA from 1 species